GGUAAAGAAUCCACCUGCAAUGAGGAAGCCUCAAGCUUGAUCCCUAGUUUGGGAAGAUCUCCUGGAGAAGGAAAUGGCCACCCGCCCCAGUAUUCUUGUCUGGGAAAUCUCACGGAUAGAAGAGCCUGGUGGACUCUUUGCCUGCACUUCAAGGCAUGUGGAACUUCCCCAGGAAGGGAUUGAACCUGUGCCCCUGCUGUGGAAGCACAGAGUCUUAGCCAGUGGACCACCAGAGAAGCCCUGUUAAGUUAUUCUCCAUGAGGACACUCAAGCAGCCCUGUGUUUCCUGAGGAACUGAGACUUCAGCCAACAACCAGUAAGGAACUGACACCUGCCUGCAUCUUGGGAAGCCCCAGUCAAGCCUUCAAUUGACCACAGACCCACCUGACAGCCUGACACCAACCUCAUGAAAGACAGAGCCAGAACUACCCACCAUAGCUGCUUCCAGAGUCCUGACCCACAGUAUCUUCAACACACUAAAUGUUUGUUGUUUUAAGUUGCCAAGUUUGGGGGGAUUUGUUACCCUGCAAUAGAUAACAGCUGCAGUCUCCUUUGC
ensembl:lncRNA